AUUGAACGCUGGCGGCAGGCCUAACACAUGCAAGUCGAGCGGCAGCACGGGGGCAACCCUGGUGGCGAGUGGCGAACGGGUGAGUAAUGCAUCGGAACGUGCCCAGUAGUGGGGGAUAACCCGGCGAAAGCCGGGCUAAUACCGCAUACGACCCAAGGGUGAAAGCGGGGGACCGUAAGGCCUCGCGCUAUUGGAGCGGCCGAUGUCUGAUUAGCUAGUUGGCGGGGUAAGAGCCCACCAAGGCGACGAUCAGUAGCUGGUCUGAGAGGACGACCAGCCACACUGGGACUGAGACACGGCCCAGACUCCUACGGGAGGCAGCAGUGGGGAAUUUUGGACAAUGGGCGCAAGCCUGAUCCAGCCAUGCCGCGUGCGGGAAGAAGGCCUUCGGGUUGUAAACCGCUUUUGGCAGGAACGAAACGGCGCAAGCCAAUACCUUGCGCUAAUGACGGUACCUGCAGAAUAAGCACCGGCUAACUACGUGCCAGCAGCCGCCGUAAUAC
rnacentral:rRNA from 1 species